CUAACAUAUGUGCAAGUUAUUGGGAUAUAAACCUAAUAGCGUAAUUAACUUGACUAAUAAUGGGAUUAAGUUUUUUAACUAUUUAUAGUUAAUUAACACAAUCCCGGGGCGUUCUAUAUAGUUAUGUAUAAUGAUAUUUAUAUUAUUUAUGCCUCUAACUGGAACGUACCUUGAGCAUAUAUGCUGUGACCCGAAAGAUGGUGAACUAUACUUGAUCAGGUUGAAGUCAGGGGAAACCCUGAUGGAAGACCGAAACAGUUCUGACGUGCAAAUCGAUUGUCAGAAUUGAGUAUAGGGGCGAAAGACCAAUCGAANNNNNNNNNNNNNNN
rnacentral:ncRNA from 1 species